GGCCCGUUCGUCUAAUGGCUAGGACAGUACCCUCUCACGGUAUAAAUACGGGUUCGAUUCCCGUACGGGCUA
rfam:Candidatus Magasanikbacteria bacterium RIFCSPHIGHO2_02_FTLL_45_10 rifcsphigho2_02_scaffold_33279, whole genome shotgun sequence.